AUGGUUCAUAUGAAUCAAGGUCAGGGAGAAACAAGCUAUGCUCGCAACUCUGCUUUUCAGAGCGCUCAGCAGAACAGAAUGAAACUCCUGAUAGAAGCAGCCAUCAUUGACUUAGGCAGCAAUACCAACACUUUGUUGCCCCAAAAGGUUGUGAUCGCUGACUUGGGCUGCUCCACUGGCCCAAAUGCCCUUGCACUUGUAUCGAUCGCCAUCAAGGCUAUUCAGAGUUACUGUCUUCAGCUCCAGCAGCCGUCACCGGAACUACUUGUGUUCCUCAAUGACCUUCCUGACAAUGACUUCAACAUGGUCGUGAAGAGCCUAGUCACGCUCCGUCAAAGCAAGAAGCCUCUUGUCAUGAUUGGUGUCACACCAGGGUCGUUUUAUGAGAGGCUCUUCACCAGUAGCUCAUUGCAUCUUGUGUGCUCAUCCAGUAGCCUACAAUGGCUCUCAAAGGCUCCUGAAGUUCUAGCGAGGAACCAUAUCCCAGCGUAUGACAUUGAUGAGAAAGCUAGGCGUGAAAGACUCCCUAUAGUCCUUCAGGCUUAUGCGGAACAAUUUAGGAAAGAUUUCACACAUUUCCUGGAGCUAAGGGCCAAAGAGUUAGCCCCAGGAGGACAGAUGGUUGUUUCCAUUAUAGGGAGGCGUUUUGAUGGUAUUGCCUCCUUUCACAUAUGGGAAAUCAUAACUCAGGUUCUUAGUGUCAUGGCUUCAGAGGGAGUAAUAGACAAAGAGAAGUUUAAUUCUUUCUACAUGCCGAUGUAUGGACCUUCAAAUGAAGAGCUGAAGGAGAUCAUCCACGAAGAGGGCUCAUUUUCAAUAAGGGAGAUGCUGGUGCAUGACUUUACAGGCGGCAUCAACAAAGAGCUCAUCACCCCAGCCUGGACCGCUAACCAGCUAAGAGCCGUGUUCGAGCAGAUACUAGUGCAGCAUUUCGGAGAUCUAAUGGAUGAUUUUGUGAAGACUUCUGAGCGUUGUUGGAGCGUGGAAGGGAGGUUGCAUGAUGAGCUUGCCAGAUUAGCUAUGCUGACAGUCUCAGUCAGCAAGGCAUGA
rnacentral:rRNA from 1 species